rfam:Lepisosteus oculatus linkage group LG1, whole genome shotgun sequence.
CCCCGACUAGCUCAGUUGGUAGAGCAUGAGACUCAUAAUCUCUGAGUAGUGGGCUCGUGUCCCACCUUGGGUG